rnacentral:rRNA from 1 species
GUACACACCGCCCGUCGCUACUACCGAUUGAAUGAUUUAGUGAGGUCUUCGGACCGGUGCGCGGUCUCCGCCUUGUGCGGUCUCCGAUGUCCCUGGAAAGAUGACCAAACUUGAUUAUUUAGAGGAAGUAAAAGUCGUAACAAGGUUUCCGUAGGUGAACCUGCGGAAGGAUC